rnacentral:rRNA from 1 species
UGGGUCGAACGAAGUAGCAAUACUUAGUGGCAGACGGGUGAGUACAUGUGGUAUCUGCCCUUUGGCCUGGAAUACACGAGGAAACUUGUGCUAAUACCGGAUAAGUCUUUACGGAGAAAGCUUUAUGCACCAUUGGAUGAGCCUGCACUUGAUUAGUUUGUUGGUGGGGUAAUGGCCUACCAAGACUUUGAUCAAUAGCUGAUUUGAGAGGAUGAUCAGCCACAUUGGGACUGAGACACGGACCAGACUUCUACGGAAGGCAGCAGUAAGGAAUAUUGGACAAUGGAGGCAACUCUGAUCCAGCCAUGCCGCGUGCAGGAUGAAUGCCCUAUGGGUUGUAAACUGCUUUUAUACAGGAAGAAACAUUUCCACGUGUGGAAACUUGACGGUACUGUAAGAAUAAGGAUCGGCUAACUCCGUGCCAGCAGCCGCGGUAAUACGGAGGGUGCGAGCGUUAAUCGAAAUUACUGGGCGUAAAGCGCGCGUAGGUGGUCUGUUAAGUCGGAUGUGAAAGCCCCGGGCUCAACCUGAGAACUGCAUCCGAUACUGGCAGACUAGAGUGCGGGAGAGGGAGGUAGAAUUCCACGUGUAGCGGUGAAAUGCGUAGAUAUGUGGAGGAAUACCAGUGGCGAACGCGGCCUCCUGGCUCGACACUGACACUGAGGUGCGACAGCGUGGUAGCGACAGGAUAGAUACCCUGGUGUCAGCCGAAACGAUGAA